rnacentral:rRNA from 1 species
UACAGAGGGUGCGAGCGUUGUCCGGAAUCACUGGGCGUAAAGGGCGCGUAGGUGGUGGCUUAAGCGUGCGGUGAAAGCUCGGGGCUCAACCCCGAGUCGGCCGUGCGAACUGGGCUCACUGGAGCAUAGUAGAGGCAGGUGGAAUUCCGGGUGUAGCGGUGGAAUGCGUAGAGAUCCGGAAGAACACCGGUGGCGAAGGCGGCCUGCUGGGCUAUGGCUGACACUGAGGCGCGAAAGCGUGGGGAGCAAACAGG